CCUACGGGGGGCUGCAGUGGGGAAUUUUGGACAAUGGGCGCAAGCCUGAUCCAGCCAUGCCGCGUGCGGGAAGAAGGCCUUCGGGUUGUAAACCGCUUUUGUCAGGGAAGAAAUCCUCUGGGCUAAUACCUCGGGGGGAUGACGGUACCUGAAGAAUAAGCACCGGCUAACUACGUGCCAGCAGCCGCGGUAAUACGUAGGGUGCGAGCGUUAAUCGGAAUUACUGGAGGCGAAGUUGGAAGACGCGGUUGAAAUCCCCGGGCUCAACCUGGGAACUGCCUUUGUGACUGCAAGGCUUGAGUGCGGCAGAGGGGGAUGGAAUUCCGCGUGUAGCAGUGAAAUGCGUAGAUAUGCGGAGGAACACCGAUGGCGAAGGCAAUCCCCUGGGCCUGCACUGACGCUCAUGCACGAAAGCGUGGGGAGCAAACAGGAUUAGAUACCCUGGUAGUC
rnacentral:rRNA from 1 species